rnacentral:rRNA from 1 species
UACGUAGGGUGCAAGCGUUGUCCGGAUUUAUUGGGCGUAAAGAGCUCGUAGGCGGUUUGUCGCGUCGGAUGUGAAAACCCAGGGCUCAACCCUGGGCCUGCAUUCGAUACGGGCAGACUAGAGUAUGGCAGGGGAGACUGGAAUUCCUGGUGUAGCGGUGAAAUGCGCAGAUAUCAGGAGGAACACCGGUGGCGAAGGCGGGUCUCUGGGCCAUAACUGACGCUGAGGAGCGAAAGCGUGGGGAGCGAACAGG